GAUGAACGCUGGCGGCGUGCUUAACACAUGCGAGUCGAACGGAAAGGCCCAAGCUUGCUUGGGUACUCGAGUGGCGAACGGGUGAGUAACACGUGGGUGAUCUGCCCUGCACUUCGGGAUAAGCCUGGGAAACUGGGUCUAAUACCGGAUAGGACGAUGGUUUGGAUGCCAUUGUGGAAAGUUUUUUCGGUGUGGGAUGAGCUCGCGGCCUAUCAGCUUGUUGGUGGGGUAAUGGGCUACCAAGGCGUCGACGGGUAGCCGGCCGGAGAGGGUGUACGGCCACAUUGGGACGGAGAUACGGCCCAGACUCCUACGGGAGGCAGCAGUGGGGAAUAUUGCACAAUGGGCGCAAGCCUGAUGCAGCGACGCCGCGUGGGGGAUGACGGCCUUCGGGUUGUAAACUCCUUUCGCUAGGGACGAAGCGUUUUUGUGACGGUACCUGGAGAAGAAGCACCGGCUAACUACGUG
rnacentral:rRNA from 1 species